UGUCGCAAAAUAAUAGUCGUAAAAUACCAAAGAAUCGACCCACUGUUGCAAAAUACAAGUAACACAUUUAGUUAGCAAUUUAGCGAAAUAGCUUCAUAAAAUGGACAUUUUACGUCCAGCGUUGAUAAACAUAAAUGGCAGGAUAUACAGGAGAAAUGUCAUAAAAGAAGACCAGUACGAAGAUGAGGAAGAGGAAGAGUUUUCGUACAUGGAAGAGAGUGAACUUGUAGAUGAACCCUGUGACAACCACCCCAUAGAACAGACAGAUAAGGGUUACCGCUGUGCCAUUGAUGUUCCAAGUAUUCUUUACAAGUACAUCAUUGGCAAGAAAGGAGAGACACGUAGGCGCCUUGAGGCCGAUACAAAGACAUCCAUCGACAUUCCAAAACAGGGACUGGAAGGACAGAUUGUUGUCAUAGGCUCCCAGAAGGCAGCAGUCAGUUCUGCAGUCACGCGCAUUGAGGUCCUGGUGGAGAGCUUUCGGAGGAAACAGCCUUUCACCCACUUCCUGUCCUUUGCUUUGAGCCACCCUCAAAUCCAAGAAGGAUUCCUGAGGUUCAAAGAGGAAGUCUUGAAGAACUGUUCAAAGGAUAAUGGAGUAGGUGAAAGCAUCUUUCAGAAUCCUGCUAAGCUUCACCUCACAGUUGGCACUCUAGUUCUACUGAAUGACAUGGAAGUAACCAAAGCCUGUGAACAGCUCCAGCAGUGUGAGGACAUUAUCAAGAAAAUUACAGGGGUGGGCCUUCCUUUGGAGGUCACUGGGAUAGAGUACAUGAAUGAUGACCCCGCCAUGGUGGAUGUCCUGUAUGCCAAGGUCAAUGCUAAAGAUGGAUCUGACAAGCUUCAGCAGGUCGCAGAACAGCUUGUGGAGAACUUUGUCUCAGCAGGGUUGAUGGUUAGAGAGUGGGACAGAGUAAAACUCCAUGGAACUGUCAUGAACACACUGUUUAGAAAACAUCCCUCAGCUGAAGACAAUGGAGGUCCAGGAAAACAGAACAGGGAGUCCUUUGAUGCAAGAAACAUACUAAAGGCUUUUGGAUCAUACUACUUUGGGGAGUUUAGUUUGAACACUGUCCAACUUUCCCAGAGGUACUCUACUGACUGCACUGGCUACUACACCUCAGCAAGCUGCAUUACCUUCUCAUGAAGAGUCUUGUGGACUGAGCAUCAUAUAGUACAUUAGCACACAUACAGGUGAAAUGCUUCCAAUGCUGUCUGCCUAGCCCAGAGUACACUGACGCAAUGGGGGGCGGAGAUUAAUACCAUGUUGGAGAGGUGGACGACCAACAGUGUAGAUAGACAGUCUGCUCCCCCCCAGCAGCUAUGGGCAGCAGACAGCAACUCUAUCUCUGCUUCUAACACAAUGGACCUCAUCUUUAUCUCCAGAUCCUCUAAGCAGGUACCAUGAAUCAGACUACUUGGUGUGCCAUGCUGAGUGUCUACCCUAUCAAGGUCAGGCUUCAGAUGAACAGUGUCCUGUUAAAAUGUGUCUCAAGUGUUUUCCAUUGGGCGGGAGAAAUGCCUGGAUUUCAAUGAUCUGCAAUAAAGUCCAAGCAUUAAAUCUUGGUUUGUGACAUUUGAGGAUUCCCUUUUUUAAGGAUGGCAAAAUUAACCAAGGAUUAUGUUAAUAAAUCAUAGUUUCCACUGUUUGUCAUUGAGCAGCUAAAUGGACAUCUACAUUCUAUAUAUUAUUGUCUGAUGUAAAGACCUGAACAUUUUUGUUUUAAUCUGACUAUAGGUCAUGUGUGAGUAGCCAAUAGAGUGAGGAGGUACUACUAAACACGUCUGCCAAUUCAUCUCUGGCAGAUAGUUUGGUCUCUGCCCUAUUUACAUUUUGCAGAUAACAAAUAUUUGCAGAUUACAGCAUUUGCCGAUAACCAACUCGGGGUGUAUUCAAUUUGACUGUCUUGUUGUGAUUCAAAUAAAGUGCUUCUCUCUU